rnacentral:rRNA from 1 species
GACGAACGCUGGCGGCGUGCUUAACACAUGCAAGUCGAGCGGUAAGGCCCUUUCGGGGGUACACGAGCGGCGAACGGGUGAGUAACACAUGGGUGACCUGCCCUCAGCUCUGGGAUAAGCCUGGGAAACCGGGUCUAAUACUGGAUAUGACUCCAUGACGCAUGUUGUGGGGUGGAAAGCCUUGUGCGGCUGAGGAUGGGCCCGCGGCCUAUCAGCUUGUUGGUGGGGUGAUGGCCUACCAAGGCGACGACGGGUAGCCGGCCUGAGAGGGCGACCGGCCACACUGGGACUGAGACACGGCCCAGACUCCUACGGGAGGCAGCAGUGGGGAAUCUUGCGCAAUGGGCGAAAGCCUGACGCAGCGACGCCGCGUGAGGGAUGACGGCCU